UGUUCGAGCGUCAUUAUGACCACUCACGCCCCGCGUGUAUUUGGGGCCCGCUGUACCGGCGGCCCUUAAAAUCAGUGGCGGUGCCGUCUGGCUCUACGCGUAGUAACUUCUCUCGCGAUUGGGCCUUGCGGUUGCCUGCCAACAACCCCCAACUUUCUUAGGUUGACCUCGGAUCAGGUAGGGAUACCCGCUGAACUUAA
rnacentral:misc_RNA from 1 species